AGUAGCUUGAUUUUGAUUUUAAUUAUGCAUACUCUCUCUUGUCAAAUUUUUAUAUAGCUUUUAUUUCUAGCUCUUCUUGUAUAUCCUCUCUCAUAAAAUCCUAUCCAGUGACUUGCCAUUUCCCUCUUCAUCUCCUUGAAGGCAGCCGAUCUCAUUUAUCUUCCUGCUUUACACAUUCCCUUUCUUUCCAGACUCAGCUUUCUCACUCAGUAAAUUUGUGAAACUCUUCAAUGCGGAAGGAUGGAGCAAAGCGAUAUUUGUAUAUCGAUGAAACAUUUACAUGGUUAAUAUUCACCUGGACCAUUGAUUUUCGCUUUUUGCUAACUCCUAUGUGGUAGCAGUGGGAGAAGGUUACUACACGAUACUGAGGACUGUUCCCUGUGCUGUAUGUAGGUCCUUGUUGCUUACCCAGCAUUUCUGAGUUGAGGCAUUAUUUGCUGUAUCACGGGAGACAUAAUACAGCAAAAUCUCAGUCCUCGUGGUUCCAAAGCUCUCUCUUCUUGGGAGGGGCAGGCAGGCCCCAAGGAGAAACUAUGUUGUCUUUUGUCCCGGAGGGAACAAAAGUGGCAACGCCAAGUGAGGAAGCCUGAAGCAGACAGAGAGACGGACUCCGCUCGUGAGAUCCUCAAAGGCCAGAAA
rnacentral:lncRNA from 1 species